CCUACGGGAGGCAGCAGUAGGGAAUAUUGGUCAAUGGGCGAAAGCCUGAACCAGCAACGCCGCGUGCGCGAUGAAGGCCUUCGGGUCGUAAAGCGCUUUUGGGAGGGAUGAAAAUGACAGUACCUCCCGAAUAAGGAUCGGCUAACUACGUGCCAGCAGCCGCGGUAAGACGUAGGAUCCAAGCGUUAUCCGGAAUUACUGGGCGUAAAGGGCGUGUAGGAGGUUGGGCAAGUCGGCCAUGAAAGCUCCCGGCUCAACUGGGAGAGGCUGGUCGAUACUGCCUGGCUAGAGGGCAAGAGAGGGAGGUGGAAUUCCCGGUGUAGUGGUGAAAUGCGUAGAUAUCGGGAGGAACACCAGUGGCGAAGGCGGCCUCCUGGCUUGUACCUGACUCUGAAACGUGAAAGCAUGGGUAGCAAACAGGAUUAGAAACCCUGGUAGUCCGAUGCCAUAAACGAUGUCAACUGGGUGUCGGCGAAGUAAAAUUUGUCGGUGCCGAAGCUAACGCGUUAAGUUGACCGCCUGAGGACUACGAUCGCAAGAUUAAAACUCAAAGGAAUUGACGG
rnacentral:rRNA from 1 species